rnacentral:rRNA from 1 species
ACGGGUGAAUAACACGUAUCCAACCUGCCGUCUACUCUUGGACAGCCUUCUGAAAGGAAGAUUAAUACAAGAUGGCAUCAUGAGUCCGCAUGUUCACAUGAUUAAAGGUAUUCCGGUAGACGAUGGGGAUGCGUUCCAUUAGAUAGUAGGCGGGGUAACGGCCCACCUAGUCUUCGAUGGAUAGGGGUUCUGAGAGGAAGGUCCCCCACAUUGGAACUGAGACACGGUCCAA